GUUCAGAUGCUGAGAUACACAGUUCGCAGUUCAUAGAAGUCUGCCUGUUGGUACGCUGUUGAACUGAGUAUCUCGACAUCUGCCC
rnacentral:pre_miRNA from 1 species